CCGUAGGUGAACCUGCGGAGGAUCCUUAAUGAAUGGGGGNNGNUGNNGNNUNGGGNUUUUAGNANGGGCCCGCCNCNCCUUCNAUNCCCAUUNCCCCUGNGCCCCUUUUGUAGUACUCCAUUGUGGACGCCGACGUGGGGUAAUUUUCCCGGCCUUCCUACUUUGGUGAAGCCGUAAAAUCGUUUUUUUUUACACACACAAGAGUCAUUGAAUGUAUAUUUUAUUUCUUAUGAUAAAAACAACUUUCAACAACGGAUCUCUUGGCUCUCGCAUCGAUGAAGAACGUAGCGAAUUACGAUAUGUAAUGUGAAUUGCAGAAUUCAGUGAAUCAUCGAAUCUUUGAACGCACCUUGCGCUCUUUGGUAUUCCGAAGAGCAUGCCUGUUUGAGUGUCAUGAAUCUCUCAAAUAANAUGAUUUAUUUUGAAUCAUUAUUAUUUGGACUUGGAAGUUNGUCGGCGCAAGUCGACUCUUCUUNAAUGCAUUAGCUGGGGUUUAUAUAGUUGGAUCCUUGGUGNGAUAAUUAUCUACGCCUUGAAGUCCCUGUAGACUCNGCUUCAAAUCGUCUCUACUAUUGAGACAAUAUUUGAAUCAUCUGACCUCAAAUCAGGUAGGACUACCCGCUGAACUUAAGCAUAUCAAUAAGCGGAGGA
rnacentral:rRNA from 1 species